rnacentral:rRNA from 1 species
GACGAACGCUGGCGGCGUGCUUAACACAUGCAAGUCGAACGGAAAGGGCCUGCUUUUGUGGGGUGCUCGAGUGGCGAACGGGUGAGUAACACGGGAGUAACCUGCCCUUGACUUUGGGAUAACUUCAGGAAACUGGGGCUAAUACCGGCUAGGAGCUCCUGCUGCAUGGUGGGGGUUGGAAAGUUUCGGCGGUUGGGGAUGGACUCGCGGCUUAUCAGCUUGUUGGUGGGGUAGUGGCUUACCAAGGCUUUGACGGGUAGCCGGCCUGAGGGGGUGACCGGCCACAUUGGGACUGAGAUACGGCCCAGACUCCUACGGGAGGCAGCAGUGGGGAAUAUUGCACAAUGGGCGGAAGCCUGAUGCAGCAACGCCGCGUGCGGGAUGACGGCCUUCGGGUUGUAAACCGCUUUCGCCUGUGACGAAGCGUGAGUGACGGUAAUGGGUAAAGAAGCACCGGCUAACUACGUG